rnacentral:rRNA from 1 species
CACGUAGGGUGCGAGCGUUGUCCGGAAUUAUUGAGCGUAAAGAGCUCGUAGGCGGUGUGUCGCGUCGGCCGUGAAAACCUGCAGCUUAACUGUGGGCUUGCGGUCGAUACGGGCAUCACUGGAGUUCGGCAGGGGAGACUGGAAUUCCUGGUGUAGCGGUGAAAUGCGCAGAUAUCAGGAGGAAUACCGAUGGCGAAGGCAGGUCUCUGGGCUGACACUGACGCUCAUGCACGAAAGCGUGGGGAGCAAACAGG